rnacentral:rRNA from 1 species
ACUCCUACGGGAGGCAGCAGUGGGGAAUUUUGGACAAUGGGCGCAAGCCUGAUCCAGCCAUUCCGCGUGAGUGAAGAAGGCCUUCGGGUUGUAAAGCUCUUUCGCAAGGGAAGAAAACUUACUCAAUAACACUGGGUGAGGCUGACGGUACCUUGAUAAGAAGCACCGGCUAACUACGUGCCAGCAGCCGCGGUAAUACGUAGGGUGCGAGCGUUAAUCGGAAUUACUGGGCGUAAAGCGUGCGCAGGCGGUUUUGUAAGUCAGAUGUGAAAGCCCCGGGCUCAACCUGGGAACUGCGUUUGAAACUACAAGGCUAGAGUGUAGCAGAGGGGGGUAGAAUUCCACGUGUAGCAGUGAAAUGCGUAGAGAUGUGGAGGAAUACCAAUGGCGAAGGCAGCCCCCUGGGUUAACACUGACGCUCAUGCACGAAAGCGUGGGGAGCAAACAGGAUUAGAUACCCUGGUAGUCCACGCCCUAAACGAUGUCUACUAGUUGUUGGGAGAGUAAAAUCUCUUAGUAACGCAGCUAACGCGUGAAGUAGACCGCCUGGGGAGUACGGUCGCAAGAUUAAAACUCAAAGGAAUUGACG